CCAUGCAGUCGAACGAGAAAGCUCCUUCGUGAGGUGAGUAGAGUGGCUCACGGGUGAGAAACGCGUACGUAACCUGCCCUUUUGUGGGGGAUAACCAGGAAGAAAUUCUGGCUAAUACCGCACUACUGUAGCACGACAUGGUGAAAAGCUGCUAGAAAGGAUGCCUCUACUUGUAAGCCUUCCCAGAAGGAUGGUCCUGCGUUGCAUUAACUUGUUGGUGGAGUAAUGGCCUACCAAGGCGACCAUGCCUAACUGGUCUGAAAGGAUGAUCAGUCCCACUGGAACUGAGACACGGUCCAGACUCCUACGGGAGGCAGCAGUGGGGAAUAUUGCGCAAUGGGGGAAACCCUGACGCAGCCAUGCCGCGUGAGUGAGGAAGGCCUUCGGGUUGUAAAGCUCUGUCAGAUAAGAAGAAUGGUCAUGGGUCUAAUAGGCCUAUGAUUUGACGGUACUAUCAAAGGAAGCACCGGCUAACUUCGUGCCAGCAGCCGCGGUAAUACGAAGGGUGCAAGCGUUGUUCGGAUUUACUGGGCGUAAAGCGCGCGCAGGCGGAUUAUUAAGCCAGAUGUGAAAUCCCGGGGCUCAACCCCGGAACUGCGUCUGGAACUGGUAAUCUAGAGUUCUAGAGGGGAGAGCGGAAUUUCGCAUGUAGGGGUAAAAUCCGUAGAGAUGCGAAGGAACACCAGCGGCGAAAGGGGGCCUCUCUGGACUAUUAACUGACGCUGAAGCGCGAAAGCGUGGGUAGCAAACACGAUUAGAUACCCUGGUAGUUCACGCCCGUAAACGAUGAGUACUAGAUAUGGGAGCCUUUGACCGCUUCAGUGUCGUAGCUAACGCAUUAAGUACUCCGCCUGGGAAGUACGGUCGCAAGACUAAAACUCAAAGGAAUUGACGGGGGCCCGCACAAGCGGUGGAUUAUGUGGUUUAAUUCGAAGCAACGCGCAGAACCUUACCUAGUCUUGAAAUCCCGAGAAGAUCGCCCAAAAUUGAUUGUGCUUUUCGGAGAUCUCGGUCACAGGCGCCACAUGGCUGUUGUCAGCUCGUGUCGUGAGAUGUUGGGUUAAGUCUCGCAGCGAGCGCACCCCCUAUCUUUAGUUCCCAGCAUUAAGUUGGGCACUCUAGGGAGACUGCCUGGGUUAACCAGGAGGAAGGUGGGGAUGACGUCAAGUCCUCAUGGCCCUUAUGUGUAGGGCUACACACGUAAUACAAUGGUGCAUACAAAGAGCCGCGAUCAGGUGACAGUCAGCAAAUCUCAAAAAGUGCAUCUCAGUCCGGAUUGGAGUCUGCAACUCGACUCCAUGAAGUUGGAAUCGCUAGUAAUCGCAGAUCAGCACGCCGCGGUGAAUACGUUCCCGGGCCUUGUACACACCGCCCGUCAC
rnacentral:rRNA from 1 species